UUAAGUUAAUAAGGGCGCACGGUGGAUGCCUUGGCACUAGGAGCCGAAGAAGGACGUGACAAACGACGAUAUGCCUUGGGUAGCUGUAAGUAAGCGAUGAUCCAGGGAUUUCCGAAUGGGGGAACCCAACAGGUACUACCUGUUACCCAUAUCUGUUAAGGAUAUGAGGAGGAAGACGCAGUGAACUGAAACAUCUAAGUAGCUGCAGGAAGAGAAAGCAAAAGCGAUUGCCUUAGUAGCGGCGAGCGAAACGGCAGGAGGGCAAACCGAAGAGUUUACUCUUCGGGGUUGUAGGACUGCAAUGUGGACUCAAAGAUUAUAGAAGAAUGAUUUGGGAAGAUCAGCCAAAGAGAGUAAUAGCCUCGUAUUUAAAAUAGUCUUUGUACCUAGCAGUAUCCUGAGUACGGCGGGACACGAGAAAUCCCGUCGGAAUCUGGGAGGACCAUCUCCCAACCCUAAAUACUCCCUAGUGACCGAUAGUGAACCAGUACCGUGAGGGAAAGGUGAAAAGCACCCCGGGAGGGGAGUGAAAUAGAACCUGAAACCGUGUGCCUACAACAAGUUCGAGCCCGUUAAUGGGUGAGAGCGUGCCUUUUGUAGAAUGAACCGGCGAGUUACGUUAUGAUGCGAGGUUAAGUUGAAGAGACGGAGCCGUAGGGAAACCGAGUCUGAAUAGGGCGCAAUAGUAUCAUGACGUAGACCCGAAACCAUGUGACCUACCCAUGAGCAGGUUGAAGGUGCGGUAAAACGCACUGGAGGACCGAACCAGGGCACGUUGAAAAGUGCUUGGAUGACUUGUGGGUAGCGGAGAAAUUCCAAACGAACUUGGAGAUAGCUGGUUCUCUCCGAAAUAGCUUUAGGGCUAGCGUCGACAUAAAGAUUCUUGGAGGUAGAGCACUGUUUGGGUGAGGGGUCCAUCCCGGAUUACCAAUCUCAGAUAAACUCCGAAUGCCAAUGAAUUAUGGUCGGCAGUCAGACUGCGAGUGCUAAGAUCCGUAGUCGAAAGGGAAACAGCCCAGACCACCAGCUAAGGUCCCAAAAUAAUUGUUAAGUGGAAAAGGAUGUGGGGUUGCACAGACAACUAGGAUGUUAGCUUAGAAGCAGCUAUUCAUUCAAAGAGUGCGUAAUAGCUCACUAGUCGAGUGACCCUGCGCCGAAAAUGUACCGGGGCUAAAACAAUUUACCGAAGCUGUGGAUACCUUUAUAGGUAUGGUAGGAGAGCGUUCUAUGUGUGGAGAAGGUGUACCGUGAGGAGCGCUGGAACGCAUAGAAGUGAGAAUGCCGGUAUGAGUAGCGAAAGACAGGUGAGAAUCCUGUCCACCGUAAGACUAAGGUUUCCAGGGGAAGGCUCGUCCGCCCUGGGUUAGUCGGGACCUAAGGAGAGACCGAAAGGUGUAUCCGAUGGACAACAGGUUGAUAUUCCUGUACUAGAGUAUGUAGUGAUGGAGGGACGCAGUAGGCUAACUAAAGCAGACGAUUGGAAGUGUCUGUCUAAGCAGUGAGGUGUGAUAUGAGUCAAAUGCUUAUAUCUAUAACAUUGAGCUGUGAUGGGGAGCGAAGUUUAGUAGCGAAGUUAGUGACGUCACACUGCCAAGAAAAGCUUCUAGCGUUUAAACAUACUCUACCCGUACCGCAAACCGACACAGGUAGUCGAGGCGAGUAGCCUCAGGUGAGCGAGAGAACUCUCGUUAAGGAACUCGGCAAAAUGACCCCGUAACUUCGGGAGAAGGGGUGCUGACAUAAGUCAGCCGCAGUGAAUAGGCCCAAGCAACUGUUUAUCAAAAACACAGCUCUCUGCUAAAUCGUAAGAUGAUGUAUAGGGGGUGACGCCUGCCCGGUGCUGGAAGGUUAAGAGGAGUGCUUAGAGGUAACUCGAAGGUAUGAAUUGAAGCCCCAGUAAACGGCGGCCGUAACUAUAACGGUCCUAAGGUAGCGAAAUUCCUUGUCGGGUAAGUUCCGACCCGCACGAAAGGCGUAAUGAUUUGGGCACUGUCUCAACGAGAGACUCGGUGAAAUUUUAGUACCUGUGAAGAUGCAGGUUACCCGCGACAGGACGGAAAGACCCCAUGGAGCUUUACUGCAGUUUGAUAUUGAGUGUCUGUACCACAUGUACAGGAUAGGUAGGAGUCUAAGAGAUCGGGACGCCAGUUUCGAAGGAGACGUUGUUGGGAUACUACCCUUGUGUUAUGGCCACUCUAACCCGGAUAGGUGAUCCCUAUCGGAGACAGUGUCUGACGGGCAGUUUGACUGGGGCGGUCGCCUCCUAAAAGGUAACGGAGGCGCCCAAAGGUUCCCUCAGAAUGGUUGGAAAUCAUUCGCAGAGUG
rnacentral:rRNA from 1 species